CGGGUUGUAAACUCCUGUCGAGGGGGAGGAAGGCGCAAGCUUGACCUAUCCCUGGAGGAAGCACGGGCUAAGUUCGUGCCAGCAGCCGCGGUAAGACGAACCGUGCGAACGUUAUUCGGAAUCACUGGGCUUAAAGCGCGUGUAGGCGGAUGGGGACGUCGGUUGCUGAAAUCCCCCGGCUCAACCGGGGAACGGGCACCGAAACGCCCCGUCUGGAGGGACGUAGGGGGACCUGGAACUUCCGGUGGAGCGGUGAAAUGCGUUGAGAUCGGAAGGAACGCCCGUGGCGAAAGCGAGGUCCUGGACGUUUUCUGACGCUGAGACGCGAAAGCUAGGGUAGCGAACGGGAUUAGAUACCCCGGUAGUCCUAGCUGUAAACGAUGGGCACUGGGUAGAGGGCUCGCCGAUGGGCUCUCUGCCGUAGGGAAACCGUGAAGUGCCCCGCCUGGGGAGUAUGGUCGCAAG
rnacentral:rRNA from 1 species